UACGUAGGGUGCAAGCGUAAAUCGGAAUUACUGGGCGUAAAGCGUGCGCAGGCGGUUUUGUAAGUCUGACGUGAAAUCCCCGGGCUCAACCUGGGAAUUGCGUUGGAGACUGCAAGGCUAGAAUCUGGCAGAGGGGGGUAGAAUUCCACGUGUAGCAGUGAAAUGCGUAGAGAUGUGGAGGAACACCGAUGGCGAAGGCAGCCCCCUGGGUCAAGAUUGACGCUCAUGCACGAAAGCGUGGGGAGCAAACAGG
rnacentral:rRNA from 1 species